AACAAGAAUGCUACUGAAUUGUUCCAUGCUGUUAAGAUGGUGAAGGCUGGGGUGAGCAGGAAGGUAGCACCAGAGGAGGGCUGCUGUUCCAGAUUUCAGACGAUGACUUAUAAAGUUUCUCUUGCCUUCCCUUCUUUCCACCAAAGAAGGAAUGAUAAACAGGGUAACAGCGGCCAUCUUAAAGACUGAAUGGCAGAGGGAGAAGGAGCAUGAUAAACACGUUUUGUGGUUGCAGCCAGGUAACAGCAGAUCCCCAAGCCAGCUAAGGACAUGGGCCUUCACCAUCUCACCUUUCAGUUAUCCACCGAAGGGGGAAAACACACAUACUGAAUACUCACAGAAGCAGAUGAAAAUUGUUUCAACACACAUUGCAUAGACGCUGAAGAACCCAUGUGCAAUCAGGUAUUAGAAAUUUCUUCGUUAUCUGCCGGUUUGCAACCUAUAUCCUCUAACUUCUGGGGAAGAAAUGACCAUUUUACCAUUUUUUCCACAUAGCAACCCUUCAGAGUUUUACUCUUGUUGCCCAGGCUGGAGUGCAAUGUCAUGAUCUCAGCUCACCGCAACCUCUGCCUUCCGGUUCAAGUGAUUCUCCUGCCUCAGCCUCCCAAGUAGCUGGGAUUACAGGCAUGCGCCACCACGCCCGGCUAAUUUUGUAUCUUUAGUAGAGACAGGGUUUCUCCAUGUUAGUCAGGCUGGUCUCGAACUCCCGACCUCAGGUGACCAGCCUGCCUCGGCCUCCCAAAUGCCUCGGCCGGGAUUACAGGUGUGAACCACUGUGCCCAGCCAAAAGUGUUCUUAAAAGGAAAAUAGGUGAGAUAUUUAUGCAAGGGACAGUGACUGAUUUUACUGACUGAUACACUUUAGCUGAGUUUCUACAUUAAGGGCCUUACUUGCUUCCUUCCUUCAGCAGGAUAAUGGCGACUCGGAUUCGAUUCCUGAGGAAGAUCAGCAUGAGGAUGACAAUCACUUCAAUGAUGCAGAGUAUUAUCACUUUGAACAGGAAAAAAAAAUCAGUCUGUAAUACAAGUAGAUAUGGAAACAAACCUUCCCUGCAAAUGCUAGGAUUGAACUUUAUUUCUGCCAAUUCUGACACCUCAUAAUCUAAGCAGUGUUAUCUCUCCAAAAAUGCCAGUCUUAGAGAUUAACUUUCACAAAAUCCUAAGAAAUCUAGAUUAAAGCCUUUAGCAAGAGCUUGAACAUCUCUUUUGGAAAGGGUUCAUCUCAUCCAUAAAAGCAUUUCACACAACUUGUAGAACUUAGAAAAUAGGAAUGGCAAAAGGGAAGGGCUGCUUUAGGUAGUUCUAUUUUAGAUGUUUUCACCUUUAGUUCAUUGAGUAAGACAAUAUACAGAAGACACGUUUUGAGCUGUUCACUUUCUUCAUAAUGCCUCUUAACUGUCCUUGCUGGCUGGCAGGGCAGGUUCUUGGCUGUCCCAUUAUUAUUUUGUGACUCUUCGCACUAUGGGCACCAUUGAUGGAAUCAGGGUGUAAACUUAACCCAAUUUGGCCAAUAUAAGUAUUAGAAUUUAAACUAAGGGAACCUAGUUUAGUCAACUUAAUUUAUUUAGUUUUGAAUUGAAAUUUAUAAAUCUUGAAUUGCAGGUUAUACAAACUGCGUCAAAACCAUCUUUAUGUGAAAUAAGUGAAUCUGCAGAGAAAGAAUAAAGUAUAGUUGUAUAAAGAAAGACAGCAAGGAGAAGAAAUCUUGGGUUCUUUUUGGCUUUCAUUUCCUGACUCCAAGUAAACUUUGAAGUCCAGCUACCUUUCUGCUUUUUUGAGUUUGACGAGGCACUUCUAUAUCCUUACAGUAAAUACCAUCUGCUCUGCUCUCAGCCUGUUCCCAUUUUCUUUUCUCUUCAGCUAGCUUGAAUUAGUUUUUUUAAACUUGAAGCCAAAUAUCAUCAAUUAUUAUAUUUCCUCAUUUCUAAGACACAUCCUUAAUUAAGUAAUAACUUUUUAGGAAAAGUGAAGAAACACUUCAUUAAAUGUUUAUUUAAUAAUUUUAAGAUGCAACCUGACUUCAGAAGUGUUAAAAAGUAAAAGUUAUGGAUCUUAAAAUCAAGAAACAGAAUCUAAAAUUGUACAAGGAACUUAAUGGAAACUUAAAUUCCCACUUGUGAAAGAAUCCAGUCUAUAACCUCCUUGCUAGAUGGUUAUUUAGCUCACGCUUGAACAGUUCUGUUGAUGGAGAGCUCAUUAUUUCAUUCUAUUAUUAUAUCACUAAAAUUCUGACACAUCACACAUCAGUUACUGUCUCCAAGUAAGCAGAAGUUCACCCAGAGGUAUAUGAAGAUCUUAGUAAUGUAACAUCUUACUUCUACAUCUUCCUUUAGUUAUACUACGUAUUUAUGUUUUCAUGUACAUUUUAUUCUCUUAAAACACUAAUUCAAACCCAAAAUUGUGGUGUGUAACCAUAUUAUGCUAAAAUUGUUAUCUUCUUUGAAUGAACCUAUAAAGAUAAUACAUAUAAGAGUCACUUUAUAUUAUGACAUUGCACUGUUAAAAAACUCUUUAUAUCUAACUUCCGCCUUUAUAAAAUUGCACCCUCAAAAUAAUUACAUUAGAGAAAUAUAACUGUCUUUUGAACUUACAUACAGUCAUGCACUGCAUGACAAUGUUUUGGUUAACAAUGGACUUCAUAUACAAUGCCAGUCCUGUAAGAUUAUAAUGGAGCUAAAAAAUUCCUAUUGCCCAGUGGCAUCGUAGUGCAAUGCAUUAUUCAUGUGUUUGGAGUGAUGUUGGUGUAAACAAACCUAUUGUGCUGACAGUCAUAUAAAAGUACAGCACAUACAAGUAGGUAUAGCAUAUAAUGCUUGAUGCUAAUAAUGAAUGAGUUUGUUAUUGUUUUAUGUAUUUACUACACAAUAUUUUUUGUUAUUUCAGAGUGUACUCCCACUACUUACUAUUAAAAAAGUUAUCUGUAAAACAGCUUCAGGUGGGUCUUUCAGGAAUAUUCCAGAAAAAGGCAUUAUUAUAAUAGGAGAUGACAGCUCCAUGUUUUUUAUUGUCCCCGAAGACCUUCCAGUGGGACAAGACGUGGAGGUGGAAGAAAGUGAUAUUGAUGAUCCUGACCCUGUGUAGGUCUAGGAUAAUGUAUGUAUUUGUGUCUUUAAAUUUUAAAUUUUUUGUUUCUAAUUUUUUAGAUAAAAUAGAGAUAGGGUCUCAUUCUGUUGCCCAGGCUGGUCUUGAACUCCUGGGUUCAAAUGAUCCUCCCACCUUGGCCUCCCAAAGUGCUAGGAUUAUAGGCAUGAGCCACCACACCUGGCCUGUGCCUCCAUUUUUAACAAAACAUAUUGAAAGUAAAAAAAAAAAAAAAAAAAAAA